GACGAACGCUGGCGGCGUGCCUAACACAUGCAAGUCGAGCGAGUGAAUCUCCUUCGGGAGUGUAACUAGCGGCGGACGGGUGAGUAACACGUGGGCAACCUGCCUCAUAGAGGGGAAUAGCCUUUCGAAAGGAAGAUUAAUACCGCAUAAGAUUGUAGCUUCGCAUGAAGUAGCAAUUAAAGGAGUAAUCCGCUAUGAGAUGGGCCCGCGGCGCAUUAGCUAGUUGGUGAGGUAACGGCUCACCAAGGCGACGAUGCGUAGCCGACCUGAGAGGGUGAUCGGCCACAUUGGGACUGAGACACGGCCCAGACUCCUACGGGAGGCAGCAGUGGGGAAUAUUGCACAAUGGGGGAAACCCUGAUGCAGCAACGCCGCGUGAGUGAUGACGGCCUUCGGGUUGUAGAGCUCUGUCUUCAGGGACGAUAAUGACGGUACCUGAGGAGGAAGCCACGGCUAACUACGUGCCAGCCGCCGCGGUAACAC
rnacentral:rRNA from 1 species